rnacentral:misc_RNA from 1 species
AACGCACAUUGCGCCUCCUGGCAUUCCGGGAGGCAUGCCUGUUCGAGCGUCAUGAAGACCAUUUCAAGCUCUUUUGCUUGGUUGUGGAGGCUGAGCGUUGCCAACGUGCUCGCUCCCCUUUGAAAUUUGCUGGCGGACUGCUCCAUGUUCCAUUUGGCGUUAUAGGAUAACUCUUUCGCUUGGACUCAUGAGGCUGUCCUGUCCAAUAACCCCCAAUCAAUUUGACGUUGACCUCGGAUCAGGUAGGGAUACCCGCUGAACUUAA